UAGGGAAUCUUCCGCAAUGGACGAAAGUCUGACGGAGCAACGCCGCGUGAACGAAGAAGGCCUUCGGGUCGUAAAGUUCUGUUGUUAGGGAAGAACAAGUACCAGAGUAACUGCUGGUACCUUGACGGUACCUAACCAGAAAGCCACGGCUAACUACGUGCCAGCAGCCGCGGUAAUACGUAGGUGGCAAGCGUUGUCCGGAAUUAUUGGGCGUAAAGCGCGCGCAGGUGGUUCCUUAAGUCUGAUGUGAAAGCCCACGGCUCAACCGUGGAGGGUCAUUGGAAACUGGGGAACUUGAGUGCAGAAGAGGAGAGUGGAAUUCCACGUGUAGCGGUGAAAUGCGUAGAGAUGUGGAGGAACACCAGUGGCGAAGGCGACUCUCUGGUCUGUAACUGACGCUGAGGAGCGAAAGCGUGGGGAGCGAACAGGAUUAGAUACCCUGGUAGUCCACGCCGUAAACGAUGAGUGCUAAGUGUUAGAGGGUUUCCGCCCUUUAGUGCUGCAGAC
rnacentral:rRNA from 1 species